UGGAGACUGAUUUUACAGGAAUGUGGAGCUGACCUAUAUCAAAGCAUUUUGCUGAACAUUUCAGCGGACGAUGUAUACUUUUCAAGGCAGAAAGUUUCAUAGAAAAUUAGAGCUGGAGAUUUUAUCAAUCACGACGUUUCUCACAGAGUAGAUGAUUCUUCUGUUAGCAUUGGAUUUAGGUACGCAAGAAUGGGCGAGAUUGCAAUUCAAUUUGGAAUUACUAUAGACGUCGAUGCUGUCAAGACUCCCUACAGUGCUUCUUAAAGAUAAAGAGAUUCGAUGAAAUAAGUUGAAUGAACGUAAGUAUUGGAAUGGCCAGUAGAAAUAAAAAUUUGCAGUUUCUCUACCUCAUAUCGGAAGCACUGAAAUUAAGUGUACCUAUGUGUUUAGCUAAUUGAGCUAGUUAAGCUAGUCAUGAAAUUUGGAGGGACUAAAAGAAUACCCAUUUUUGAUUGGGUGUAGAGUCGGAUCUGUUAAGAAUAAAUAAAUUUUUGCAAUAUAUCAUUUUUUGCUUAACAAUAGUUUUAGAUGUGAUGUUUUUUAAUUUUGAUUAGAUCAUGAGAAUGACAAUAAUAAAUCUAAAAAAUUAGACAUUUUUUAGAAUCUUUAUUAUAUUUGUAAAUUAAUUUUUUUCAAUUAAGGUUUUUUUUCAAUAAGGGAUUUUCAAAAUUUUUUUGGGAAGAAAAUUAUGAACGUGAAAUGAGAAAUAAAUCGGAUAAUAUUUAGAGUUCGCUCAUCGCAAAUUAUACGUAAUAUAAAUGAUGCGGCUCAUUCAAAUGAUUAUUUUUGGUUCAUAAGUUUUUUUUUCAAUUAUGCAUACUUAAAAAGAUAUGCGAAGCAAAUUGUUAUAAAAAAGCAUUAUUCGUUUUUUCUGCCUGCUGAAGUGUCUUUAAAACACAUUUAAAUUAUUUAUUUAUGUUCUUACAAAAAUAAGUCAUAUAAAACAAUUUUUCACAAAUAAUAAUUUUAUAUGUUUCUACGAAUUAUUUUUAAGAACAUAAAAAUAUGUAAGCAUGGAUUUUUCUGUGAAAACAGAAAAAUUCGCGAUCUAUAAAUAUCCGAUUUAUGUCUGCUCCCUCGUGGUUCAUCUUUAACCCAAAAGAAAUAACAAAUUCAAAACAUUAUAGUUCAGAUUCGAUUAAAUUUUUUUUAAUGCCCCUAAUUUCCAUACCAAAAUUUGUAUGUAACAAUUCUGGGAAACUUAUCAUUUUUCGUGUAUAGGUAACUUUUUUGUUAUAUUAGGAACAUCGAAACAUAAUAGGUAGCAAAUUUUUUUCAUUUUGACAACAUGAAUCAUUUGAUGUAUUUAAAAACACUCUAUGGUCAAAUGAAGUAAUUUAUAUGUAAAUAUUUGUAAAUUUCCCUAAAUUUUGUUAAGAGAACAAUUUUCUUUCUUUUGAGAAUAUAGCAAUAUUGUAUUAAAUUUAUUCGUUACAAGAGAAAUUAAUAAUUGUAUUUAGUAGGCCUGUAUAAAUAACUAUAAUUCGGAUAUAAUAUAUAUAAGUAUUUGUCGAUUUGUGUAACGUUUAAAUGAUAAAAAAACUUUCCUUUUUGGGAAUUCAUCAAUAUUUUGAAUAUAAAACUUAUUCCAUUUGAUGAAACGAAUCUAUUGAACUACAUAAAAAAACUUCUGUGACCUAUAAACUAAAAACAAUACCUAAUAAUAGGGAAUAAUAAUUAACUUACAAUAAACAAACAAGCGCAGGCGAAA